UACAGAGGGGGCAAGCGUUAUUCGGAAUUAUUGGGCGUAAAGGGCGCGUAGGCGGCCUGGCAAGUGGAAGGUGAAAUCCCUCGGCUCAACCGAGGAGCUGCCUUUCAAACUGCCUGGCUUGAAUCCGGGAGAGGUGAGUGGAAUUCCCAGUGUAGCGGUGAAAUGCGUAGAUAUUGGGAGGAACACCAGUGGCGAAGGCGGCUCACUGGACCGGCAUUGACGCUGAGGCGCGAAAGCGUGGGGAGCAAAC
rnacentral:rRNA from 1 species